CGGAGUAACGAGAAGCGGGACGUGUCCGGGACAAUCGGGUGAUCGUGUGAACCGAGGUGCUCCUUUGGAACGAUUCCAGCGUCAAACAGGUGAUUCUAUACACAAUGGUGAACCCGCCGUUCAUGCCGUUCGGUUAGCGGAGUGUCGCGAGUGCAAUACGAGGCCUACUCGGACUGACAUGUCGCCGGAACCAGAGAUAGUAGCCAGAGGUUGGCCGAGGUCCUGAUAGCCGCAGCGACCAGGAUCCGGGAUCAUCCAACGGAGAAAGGAUGCCAGGGGGGCGCAGGGGCCUGGUCGCCCCGCAAAACACAUUCCUCGAAAACAUCAUACGUCGUAGCAGCAGUCAACCUGACAGCAGUUUUCUCCUGGCGAACGCUCAGAUCGUCGACUUCCCUAUUGUCUAUUGCAACGAAAGCUUUUGCAAAAUCUCUGGCUAUAAUCGUGCCGAGGUUAUGCAAAAGUCCUGCCGCUGCGGAUUCAUGUACGGGGAGUUGACGGACAAAGAGACGAUCGCCAGGAUCGAGGAAUGCCUCGAGGGCCAGAUUCACGAUCAAUUCGAGAUCCUGCUGUACAAGAAGAACAGUGCCCCACGAGGUAUGUCUAGCACAGGUUCGCAAAAGAGUGCUCGAAAGACCCACCACCUGAACAAGAGACGACACACUUACAAGGAUCGUCGAACGAUCCCUGGACCAAGGGGCGGCCAUAAUGAGAGGACACUGUUCGACCUCCCACCUACUCUUGAUUUCAAAACACCGCUAUGGCUGCUUCUGCAAAUAGCGCCAAUAAAAAACGAACGGGACCUGGUGGUCCUGUUCCUGUUGACCUUCCGGGACAUCACUGCCCUGAAGCAGCCAAUCGACACGGACGACAGCAAAGGUGGCCUCUCGAAGUUCGCCAAACUAGCCAGAUCGGUCACCAGGUCCAGAUCCGUUCUUGUCUCACAGUUCAGCUCACAUCUGCCCGCCCUGAAGGACUCCGCGUUACCAACCACCACCAAACAAUCGCACUUAGCUCAUAUGAUGUCGUUAAGCGGCGACGUGAUGCCGCAGUACAGACAGGAGGCGCCGAAGACUCCGCCACACAUUUUGUUACAUUACUGCGCGUUCAAGGCAAUCUGGGAUUGGAUCAUUUUGUGUUUGACCUUUUACACGGCCAUCAUGGUGCCCUACAACGUCGCGUUCAAAAACAAGACCAGCGAGGAUGUGUCCCUGUUGGUCGUCGACAGCAUCGUCGACGUCAUAUUCUUCAUCGACAUUGUCCUCAACUUUCAUACGACGUUCGUUGGUCCGGGUGGCGAGGUGGUGUCUGACCCAAAGGUGAUCAGAAUGAACUACCUGAAAUCAUGGUUCAUCAUCGACCUCCUAAGUUGCCUUCCAUACGACGUGUUCAACGCGUUCGACCACGACGAGGACGGCAUAGGUAGUUUGUUCUCGGCGUUGAAGGUGGUGCGUCUGCUUCGUCUGGGUCGGGUAGUUCGCAAACUAGACCGGUAUCUGGAGUAUGGAGCCGCGAUGCUCAUUCUUCUGCUCUGUUUCUACAUGUUGGUUGCUCACUGGCUGGCCUGUGUCUGGUACGUCACUUUAAGGUACUCGAUAGGAAGGUCGGACGCCGACAACGGGGUUCAAUAUUCAUGGCUGUGGAAGCUGGCGAACGUCACACAGUCACCCUACAGCUAUUUGUGGACUAAUACCAGUACUGCGCCGGAGUUGGUCGCAGGACCGUCCAGGAGGACUAUGUACGUCACCGCCUUGUACUUCACGAUGACCUGCAUGACCUCCGUUGGCUUCGGCAACGUCGCCGCGGAAACCGACAACGAGAAAAUAUUCACCAUCUGCAUGAUGAUCAUCGCUGCUCUACUGUACGCCACGAUCUUCGGUCACGUCACCACAAUAAUUCAGCAAAUGACAUCCGCCACCGCCAAGUAUCACGACAUGCUGAACAACGUGAGAGAAUUCAUGAAGUUGCACGAGGUGCCGAAAGCCCUAAGCGAGCGAGUGAUGGACUACGUGGUGAGCACCUGGGCGAUGACCAAGGGCCUAGACACCGACAAGGUACUCAAUUACUGCCCGAAAGACAUGAAAGCGGACAUCUGUGUUCACUUAAACAGGAAAGUCUUCAACGAACACCCAGCGUUCAGGUUGGCCUCCGACGGUUGCCUGCGGGCACUGGCGAUGCACUUUACAAUGUCGCACAGUGCGCCCGGCGAUUUGCUUUAUCAUACAGGCGAGUCGAUCGACUCGUUGUGCUUCAUCGUGACUGGGAGUCUCGAGGUGAUACAAGACGACGAGGUUGUGGCUAUCCUUGGCAAGGGAGACGUGUUCGGAGACAGCUUCUGGACGAAUCCGUCCGUGGGACAAAGCGCGGCCAACGUGCGAGCUCUGACCUACUGCGACCUUCACACUAUCAAGAGGGACCGACUGUUGGAAGUGUUGGAUUUUUAUCAAGCUUUCGCAAACUCCUUCGCCAGGAACCUCGUUUUGACCUACAACCUGAGUCACCGGCUGAUAUUUCGAAAAGUGGCCGACGUUCGCCGGGAGAAAGAGUUGGCCGAGAGAAGGAAAAACGAGCCUCAAUUGGAUCAAGCACAGGAUCAUCUGGUGCGAAAAAUCUUCUCGAGGUUCAAGACCGACGGGGAUGCCCAGAUUGGCGCGACUAGGGCCGCGAACGGACGAUCCCAACAGGAUUCCGACGAGGAGCUCACCGUGAACGUCCUGCCGCCCUGGCCCAGUUUUAGGUUCCGCAGGGAGAGGCACACCGCCGACGUGGAGAAAGGGGACAGCAAAGACGGGAAGGACGGCAAAGAGGGAGAAUCGUCGCACACUAGAAAACUCUCCGCAGCGGAGGAGACCACUGCCGUGAAAACGCGACCUGGAAAAUGGGGACGACUGCUAGGGAGCUCGAGUCUGGACUCCGGAAGCGAAGCAGGGACCGGUGUGGACACCUUCAAGCGUUCGCUCAGCGCCAGGGACGCCCGUCCCGGUUCGAGCGCCGGUGGUAACAAGGUGUUCCCAAAGUUCGGCAAGCUCAGCGGCACCAUCGAGGAGACAGCGGACUCAGAAAGCGGUAAAGACGCUCAGCAGCAGCAGCAGCAACAGCAACAGCAGCAGCAGACCGUAACAGACUCGAAACAGCUGCAGCUCCGUCGUCUGGAGAGCUACGACGACGGUCUGAUCACCUCGCAGCCCAGCCACGACCGCGAGAUCCUCGCCGCGGUGCUGGAGGUGAAGGUCGAUCUAAAGCUGGAGGUGCAACGGGUGAACCAGCGGCUGGCCAAGAUCGAGGACAUGAUGCAGACGCUGAUGAGUCGGCUGCCGGUGUGCAACUCGCAGCAGCAGAAGAGUUCGAACAGCGGAGGCGGUGGCUCGAACCAGUCCGGUCAGGGUUCGUCCGGUUCUCAGCAGGGAUCUCAGGCUACGCAGACGCCGGAGCAGAAGGUGUCGCUUGCGACCACGUCCACCUCGACCACGUGCACGGAGAGCUAUAGGGAGCAGGGCACGACCACCGAGCGAACCUCCAAGUCUCAGGAACACCAUCAUCAUCACCAUCAUCAUCAUCAGUCGCAGCAACAGUCGGACAGGCUGAAGGAGUCGGAUUACAAGAGCUCACCCAGAGACGUGAGCAAGGAGCUUCUAGAGAGGCUCGCGCAAGCUUCGACCUCCAGAGGGGACGACUCCACUCCGCUUGGACCCCUGAUCCUCAGGAAACGCAGGAGCAAGUCGCGGAACAAGGGCGCAGCGCCGCUGGCGCCCCUCGCCACCCAGCCUAUCAGCCCGUCCGAAGCGACAGAAACCACGCAGAUGCUCGAGUGCACCGACGACAGGGAACAGAGCACCGCCACGACGGACAGGAGCGACAGGCCCGACAGGAAGAGGCCUCCGCCCAGGACCAGGGAGUACUUGUGAAAGUUCUUACGGCUCCGGACGGUCUCUGAAUUCCUGCAUCGAACAGCGAAGGUCGUAGAAUGUCCUGGCGGAGGGUUUGAGUCUUGGAUACUCAACCGAGUCGUCGAGUUGUUCGUAGGGAGUUGCCUUAAAGAGUUGUUGGUUAGAAGUCCGAGUGAAGAUCGUGAAACGAGUUUGGAUGAAUCCGAGGCGCUCGAGCAGACUGUUUCAGCGAACAUUGUUUUUCAACGAAGUGAUAAAGUCGACGAACGAUUAACAAAUAAACCGUAAUAUCCGUUAAGUUCACCGCGUACGUUUAAGUACACGCUGCAUUUUCGCUACUCGCUUCGCGUACGGUCUUCAACGAGCCUCGUCGAAGGUCGUCGGAACCUAAGCUAAUUGAAAAGUACUAGUAGCGUAUCGUCGAAUGUAAGCGAACAACAAAGAAGAUUACGAUGAAAAUGAAAGGGGAGAGGGUGGUCUCCCGCUACUAAACUUGGCAUAUUUUUGCAUGGCCAAAUCACGCGAUAAAACCAAGUAUAUCGAAUUAACUGCUUGCGACGGCUUCUUCGAGACAUCGAACGUUAAACGAGAACAAAGAAACUAAUCAGAAUACUCGUGUUCUACCUAAAGCUACACACACACACACACGUGUACGCAUACACGUACAGAUACACUGUAAUUGUAGAUUUACACGCAUCUUAGGGGAUCUCAGUUAGAUCGCGAUAGAUUUAUAAGCGGCAAAGUGAACGGUACAACGGUUCUCAGAGGCAAUCUUGCGAGAUCCCCGUAUCGAGUUCGAACGCGAUCCGAAUCGGGCCGAAUCGUUUUCCUGAAUCAGUGCUGUCGAAGGCCUGAACUUCCAGAACCAAUUGCCUAAUAUGUAAUACGUUUCGGUGAAGUGGCGACCUCUGUACCGAUCUGGGAACGCGAGGUUCCUGCUCUGUCGUUUCAACGAAAAUGAAGGUGCCACGUGAGGGAUUACGGGACAUUCGGUACGGUAACUACCCGUCCACACCGUUUUCUGUGUAGGCCGAACGACAGACGGGUAUCUUCGAUUUUGGGAGAUGUGCAUAAAGAAAGCCCAGACGUUCUCUUUCUAUUCUUAUAUCUGUACGCAUGCGCGGCAACGGCGGCUUAAUUUCUCGUGGCCGCUCUCGUCGACAGCACUGAUUUAUGAAUGGGUCCGUGGUGAGGAGACAUCGGCUAGAAUCGCGUUAGGGAUUUUUAUCGGCGGAACACUGGCAGGAGACUGAAGCGGAUAAUGAAACCCUCCCAUGGACAGCACCCUAACUCGCGACCCGAAGAUUCUCUACUUUGUUACGUUGAAAACAUGACCUAAUCCCGCGUAUGGUGGCAUUCACGGAAGCCAAACAGCAAUAUUAGGUGUAUAUAUCUCUUGUAACUACGGUCACGUGUAUAUAUGUACUCGUAAAUGAGAGGCGCGCGUGUUCGUGGCAGCGCAUUUGCGAGGCUGCAUUCCGUUAACGAGUGUAGGGAUUAUUGGUACCAAACCUUAUUUCAUUGACCUAGACGAUGUCGACCUUGAGUCACUUUCUCUUACAAUUGUCUUGUAUUUUUAGAAAUGAUCAGACUUACUUUUACUUGGGGUCAUUUACUUAGGCUCAUUGUAACUUUGCUUAUAGUUGUAUUCAUUUACUUAUACUCAUUGUAAAUUUGCUUAUACUCAUGCUUAUGUUCAUUUAUUUAUACUCAUUGUAACUUUACUUGUAGUCAUACUCAUAUUUAUUUAUUUACAGUCAUUGUAACUUUGCUUAUAGUCAUACUCAUAUUUAUUUAUUUACAGUCAUUGUAACUUUGCUUAUAGUCAUACUCAUAUUUGUUUAUUUACAGUCAUUGUAACUUUGCUUAUACUCACACUUAUGUUCAUUUACUUAUUGUUAACUCAUUGUAACUUUGCUUAUAGUCAUAUUCAUAUUUAUUUAUUUACAGUCAUUGUAACUUUGCUUAUACUCAUGCUUAUGUUCAUUUACUUAUUGUUAACUCCUUAUAACUUUGCUUAUAUUCAUACUUAUAUUCAUUUACUUAUACUCCCUUGCUUACCGCCAUCUUGUUUGACACUCUACUGUAAACAAAAUGGUCGCCAACUGCGACUCUACAUCGUUGAGGAUUUCGUUAACAAGAUAUUGCAGAGGUAAUAAAAUCGAUGAGGUAUCCUAAUGCAAAUAAUUAAUUAGAUGAAAAAGAUGGACAAUUAAGUUAUGAAGAGAAGGUUAAUGAAAUUAGGGUUGACUAAUCCGCAUAUUUACGAGUAACGGUCUUUUCUUUUCGUCUCUUUCCGGGCUUCCAACGCAGCUUCUCUACGAUUUCUAAAAAGCGAGUUAAAAAGGCGAAGGCCUUGAUCGGUGUUCCAUUCGCAGGCAUCCGUUGCGAAACAACGGUACAUUUUGUUGCGUUGCUGUCGCCCGUUAACCGAACCUAACCUAUAAAGCAACAUAUACACAAUUUUGAAGGACAAUCAAAGAUGGAAAGUAUCGAUCAUAAUAGGUCGACGCGAUUAAUCGAUUAAGGCUAUAGAUAAUAUUUCGUUAGCUUAAACUUUAAUCCGAAGCGUAGUACCCUGGCGUGGAGCGACGCGUACGAAUAAUUUUGCACGGUGCGAAUGGGAUUUGACAUUGCGGACUAGCGUUUAGUCAUUUUUAUAAAUACCGAAACGGGGAAGAACCACACGACGAAAGAACGAAAAGGAGAGACGAAUGCACGUCGCGAUCGCGCCGACAGGAACAUCGAUGCGUGUAAAUAUUAUAAAUAUUAUACAAAAGAGAGUGCGUGGAAAGAGAGUGUAUGUGAGCGAAUAUAGUUCUAAUCUGACGUUAAAUCGAGGAAGAUAUAUAUAAAAGAAGAAAAAGUAAUUAUCGAGCAGUUACGAGGACUUUGUUAAUUAGGUUUUUAGCGACGGAUACGAUAUAGUUGGCUCUAUCGUAGUUUCUAUACUUUUAACGGGAAACGAAAGUGACGCGCAGUUCAACGUUUCUAGUCCUCUCAAGGAGGAAUGUAUGGAACAGGGACGACGUUCCGGAUGCGACAAAAUCACGUGACCGACGAUGCAACGACAAAACCCUUCUCGCGUUCGAGAAAGAAAUUGUAGUACAUCAGAAACUGUCGAGGAACGUUUGAAAAACAGACAAAGAUAUAAACAUGUGAUAUUACGAUUUUAUAUGUGAAGCUGAUAUUGCUAUACACAUAGGACAAACCGAGAUGUGUAUAUGUAUCAGCUACAUCGCAAUAAAUUGAUUAUAUCGCGCUGUUAUUCUAAAAUUAUAAGCGCGGCGCGACACGAGUCGUCGUUCUUUUAUUGUACAAUGGAACUUUUAUUGCCUAUUCAGUUCGUUUGUUGCAAUUUAUUUUCUUACGCUAAAUAGGGGUUAACGUGGGGUCGCCAUUUUGUUGGCGGCCAUCUUGUCUGUUAGCGGCCAUCUUGUUUACGGCCAUCUUGUUUAGCAUCACACUUUUCGACUUUAUUAAGCAUGUAUUGUUUAAACAAAAAUACAGUGUGUGACACAGUGUGAAAUACUUAUUAACAAGAUGGCCGCUAGCAAACAAGAUGGCCGCCAACAAGUGACUCGACGCAUUUAACCUCUAUUUUUUCCAAAGUUUGUAAAGCUUAUUUCGAAUUGCCAUGCAACAUUAAUAGCGCCGUAAUUCAGUUGAAAUAGGAUAUUUUGUUCGGGGAAAACAAGAAGACAGAGACGACGACAGUGAUCGCCACGACGAUCGAAGAAGCCGUGAUCGUAUCGAAUUUUUUUGUGAAAAUGAUCGAGGAGAGAGUCUAUAAUAGCUAUCCGACGAAAUAACAAAAUAAAGAAAAAAAUAUAUAUAUAUAAUUAUUAUUAUUAUUAUUAUGAUUAUUAUGAUUAGAAGAGGGAGGGGGGACAAAUUUUUGCUAUAACUAACACUUCGUCCAUUUUUCUAUAUGGGCAAUUCGUUGCACUGUAAUCGAUCCUCGGCCUUGUAAAUUCUGUCCUUGUCACUUCCGGUAGCGCUCUUCGAUUGUCGAGCGUCACGGAAUACCGCUCGGUCGAUGUACAUACUGUUCGAUGGCUCGCAUAUGAAAUUUUAAUGAAUUUCAAAAUACUUCAAGAUAAUUAACUCGGAAGCCUCGUUCGAAAAAUUUGAUCACAAUACUUAUUUAUAAAACAUUGCCUUUAAAAUAAAAUUGCAGUACAAAAUAAAAUUACAUGAUGCAAAAUAAAAUUAGUACAAAACAAAAUUAGAGUUAACAAAAGUAUUAAAAGAAGUUUAAAAAGAAUUAUAUCUGCGUUUAAAUAAAAAAUAUGACAUUAUGAUAAUUGUAUGACAAUAUGACAAUUGACACUAGAUUUAUAGAACUUGUUGAAAUGACACAUAUGUUAAGUUACAGAAAUUAUUUAUUUAUUACAGUAUUUUAUUUCUAAUAAAAAAGUAGAUGCAAGUCUGUAAACCUAGUGUUCAAAGAAUCUGUCCAAAAUUGAUUAAAAAAAUAUAUAUAGAGUCGUACAUCAAACAGUAUUUACAGCAUCGACGUUAAAAACGGUGAAGAAAUACUCGAUUUCAUGGAUGAUGAGUCCGCCAUUUUGAUCGGUUCGAGUCCGCCAUUUUGAUCGGUUCGAAUCCGCCAUCUUGAUCGGUUCGAGUCCGCCAUCUUGAUCGGUUCGAGUCCGCCAUUUUGAUUAGUUCAAGUCCACCAUUUCUCGGUCCGAAAAGUACUCAAACGCUAAAAUUUCCGAAAUUGUUAAAUCUUUAAAUUCGAUACCGAUCAUCCAUGAGAAAAGUACAAUAUCGCUAAGUUAGACUUCCGUGGCGCUCGCGGCUCGACGAGCCAAUUCUCGUCAAAUCUCGAAUCUCGACAGCUAAAAAAAAA